rnacentral:rRNA from 1 species
GACGAACGCUGGCGGCGUGCCUAAUACAUGCAAGUUGAGCGCUGAAGGUUGGUACUUGUACCAACUGGAUGAGCAGCGAACGGGUGAGUAACGCGUGGGGAAUCUGCCUUUGAGCGGGGGACAACAUUUGGAAACGAAUGCUAAUACCGCAUAAAAACUUUAAACACAAGUUUUAAGUUUGAAAGAUGCAAUUGCAUCACUCAAAGAUGAUCCCGCGUUGUAUUAGCUAGUUGGUGAGGUAAAGGCUCACCAAGGCGAUGAUACAUAGCCGACCUGAGAGGGUGAUCGGCCACAUUGGGACUGGGACACGGCCCAAACUCCUACGGGAGGCAGCAGUAGGGAAUCUUCGGCAAGGGACGAAAGUCUGACCGAGCAACGCCGCGUGAGUGAAGAAGGUUGUCGGAUCGUAAAACUCUGUUGGUAGAGAAGAACGUUGGUGAGAGUGGAAAGCUCAUCAAGUGACGGUAACUACCCAGAAAGGGACGGCUAACUACGUG